AACGAACGCUGGCGGCAGGCUUAACACAUGCAAGUCGAACGGUUGUAGCAAUACAGCAGUGGCGCACGGGUGAGUAACGCGUGGAUAUCUGCCUUUGGUUUGGAAUAACUCCGGGAAACUGGAGCUAAUACCGGAUGGUUCCUACGGGAUAAAGAUUUAUCGCCAAAAGAUGAGUCCGCGUACGAUUAGCUAGUUGGUGAGGUAAUGGCUCACCAAGGCGACGAUCGUUAGCUGGUCUGAGAGGACGAUCAGCCACACUGGGACUGAGACACGGCCCAGACUCCUACGGGAGGCAGCAGUGGGGAAUAUUGGACAAUGGGGGCAACCCUGAUCCAGCCAUGCCGCGUGAGUGAUGAAGGCCUUCGGGUUGUAAAGCUCUUUUGGCGGGACGGAUGAUGAGGUACCCGCAGAAUAAGCCCCGGCUAACUU
rnacentral:rRNA from 1 species